rnacentral:rRNA from 1 species
AUUAGAUAAAAAACCAAUGCCCUUCGGGGCUCUUUGGUGAUUCAUGAUAACUUAACGGAUCGCAUGGCCUUGCGCCGGCGACGGUUCAUUCAAAUUUCUGCCCUAUCAACUUUCGAUGGUAAGGUAUUGGCUUACCAUGGUUUCAACGGGUAACGGGGAAUUAGGGUUCGAUUCCGGAGAGGGAGCCUGAGAAACGGCUACCACAUCCAAGGAAGGCAGCAGGCGCGCAAAUUACCCAAUCCCGACACGGGGAGGUAGUGACAAUAAAUACUGAUACAGGGCUCUUUUGGGUCUUGUAAUCGGAAUGAGUACAAUUUAAACCCCUUAACGAGGAACAAUUGGAGGGCAAGUCUGGUGCCAGCAGCCGCGGUAAUUCCAGCUCCAAUAGCGUAUAUUAAAGUUGUUGCAGUUAAAAAGCUCGUAGUUGAACCUUGGGCCUGGCUGGCCGGUCCGCCUCACCGCGUGUACUGGUCCGGCCGGGCCUUUCCUUCUGGAGAGCCGCAUGCCCUUCACUGGG